AGUUGGUGGGGAACCCCUGCUGGGGGAGACAGGGCCCGGGGCCCUUCUUUAACGGGUGCCAUUUUCAUUGGGCAGAGUGUUCAAAGUGCCUUCCGCCAGCCUGAUGGCACUGCCUGUCCCUCGUGGCAUCUCUACAUUUUCAUCCCCUUUAUCCUUGAAGUUAAACAAGUCUGCAGUCGUCCUCAGUCCCGUGCAAUAGCAGAGGACACGGGACAGCACUCAAAGCUGUGGGGCCCUUUGGAGGGUGAAACAUUGGAGCAUUCAUUUUCUUUUACACAAUCUAAGAGCAAUUUUAUGAGGAGAAAGUAGACUCCAGAAUAUGUGGAUACAAUUUAAAAAUCACCGCCAACUGCCCGUGAAAGAAAGAUUGAGCUGUCACACCAGGCCACACGGAGUCUCUCUGUGUUUCUGCUAAUCUGCGUGAGCCGCCCACACGUGUGUCUUAGCCUAUCCGUGUUUGCUCGCAGACAGCAGGCGCAAGUGCCAAAAGGCUAAGGACAUUUUCAAUGGAAUGUUCUGAAGUUGGGACCGUUUUCAGGCAGUAACGUGACAUCACCACCCGGAGAGUGGAUCGCCACCCUGAGCCGGUGUGCUAGUUAGGCACAAAGUAGAGCCACCGGGAAGAGCAAACACUCACUGAGAAAAAUGCCGCCAACAAACUGUCCCCUAGGCAAGUCUGGGGGGGGCAUUUUCUUGAUUAAUGAUUAAUGUGUGAGGGCCCAGCCCACUGUGGACAGUGCCACCCCAGGCAGGUGAUCCUGGACAGUAUACGAAAACAGACUGAGUAAGCCAACGGGAGCAAGCUGGGAAGCAGGGUUCUUCCAUGGCCUCUGCAUCAGCUCCUGCCCCUAGGUUCCUGCUUUGGUUUCCCUUAGUGAUGGACGGCAAGCUGUACACUGAAAUAAACCCUUUCCUCCCCGAGUUGCUUUUGGUUGUGGUGUUCAUCACAGCAGCAGAGAGAUCAGAUCAGAAUGGAUGGGGGCAGCAGCCACCACAAUGUCAUCUGACCUCCGUAGCCGCCACUGUUGGCCCCGCCACCACCCAAGUCCAGCGUGCAAGAAUUCGAGUCCUUCUUUCUCAACUUUAUAGCUGUUUCCUUCUGAAACCCGCCUGCACAGAGACAUGCUUCUGAGGGUGCUGAGUGCUGGGUUUCAUUUGCUAAGAAGGCUCUCAUUUUGGACCUAUUCUCCAUAAUCUGCAAACCUUGAGGUUCACUCAACCAACUGAACUGCCCUUCCAUGCAAAAAGCUCUGGCCUGACUUCCCAAAGCCCGGAACCUCUAGAUCUGGCAGGUGGGACCCAUCUUGCUAGUUCCAGAGAUGCAGUGUGGUGCACAAGAAAAAGGGCCAACUCUGAAAUUUGGAGCUCUUUGAGUGUGUAAGUGCGCCACAAGUGGAAAGUCCUCUGCCUGAUGACACGGGAACGGAACACGGCCAACACUCUGGCAUGCUAAACAUACUGCGCAAAAUAAUUUCAGACUAUGUAUAGGAAACACAAACAGAUGCUGUGCUUGGACUUCGGUACCAUCCCUGAGAUGAGAUCAUUAUGUGCAUGGAAAUAUUCCCAAAUUUGGGAGAUUCCUAAACUCAAAGCAGUUCUGGUCCCAUGCAUUCGGAUCGGGGAUGCCCGUUGCAGAAUCCAUCAAAGUGAGCACCAAAGAUUCUUAUGUCUAUUUUUUCCCCCUUCAAGGUGUUGGGGAUUGAAUCCAGGGUCUUGUGUGUGCUAGAAAAGCCCUGCCCUGGAGCUGCAUUCCUGGCCCUGUGUGGCUGAGCAAAUAGAAUUUACAUAGCAGUUUUCAAAAGAACAGGCUCCAAUCCUGGCCCGACUUCUGGGCAGCAGAAUUCUUGACUCCUUUAGGGCUUUUUUUAUAAGGUGGAAAUAGCCCUUAUACCUGCAUUAUGGCUUAUUGUGAAUAUUAAAUAAGACCAUGUGGGUCAAAAGUGCUUGGUCAAUGAUAAAAGCCUGUACCAUUGGGUGGUUCCCAUUGCCGACUCUUUAUCCAGCCGCCUUCUGGAGCAGAUUAUUGGGCUAGUAUGUGCUGUGGGUUUUGCCUCGAGACUUCCCUUGGAGAGCAGUGUUUAUCUAUUUUAAGGAGACCCUAGAGAUAGCAGCCUGCUGCAGAAAAGCAAAUGGAAUAAGGAUUUACCAGAAAGAGGAGGGCUGGCUGGAAGGGAACAGCUGGGGAGAGCUAUCAAUCCGGCUCGGCACCAGACGAACGCCAAGAGGGAGUCGCUAAAUGCCUGGGAGAGAAUCGUGACCAGAGAGAGCAGUGAGUUAAAAAAAAAAAAAAUCACAUCCUGCCAAGCAAACUGGGUCAUAUUCCUGAUGGAGUUAGUCACUGCGCAGAGCCGAGCUGGGAAGGCUGUUUCAGGGCAGAAAGCAAAGGCUCGGCGGCUCGGCUGGCAGCGGCAGGAGCCCCCGGCUGUUGAGCAAAGACCCCUCGUGUGGCUGGCGUGUGGCAUCUCAUGGUGCUUUAGAUUUGAACUUGAUUAUUUUUUUUAGCCCUAAACGCAAUUAAAAACCACAUUUUUCUUUGAAUAGUUCACACACACACACACACACACACACACACACACACACACACACACAGAGUUUCCAAAAGGGAAAUCUUAGAGAGAAGAUACAUUAAACCCAGAUGGAAGAGCAGGAAGGCCAUUCUUAGGCUUGUCCCUGGAAUUCGCGUGGGAAGUGACAGCGGUCUGAACGGGGCCAAACUCCAGAGUGAACGCAUGUGUACAGUCCGUUCAGUUUAGAAAUCUUUAAGGUCACGGGCCCUGUCCUGUGGUGACAGGAUCCUGUAACACGACUGGAGGCUGCUGAAAUCAAAAUUUAACGUGUGAGUCACUAGGAGAAAGUUAAAGCAGGGGGCGAGCUACCAGGAAGAAAUAGUCUACAAGAGAAGGCUGAGGGGCGGAAUUUUGAGUUUGUUCUCAUUAUAAAAAAUUUUGGUACUUUUCUGCUAUAUAUGUCUGCCAAGAAAUGUGAUCUGUUGGGAGAGAAGAGGAAAUGUAUUCCACAUCUUGAUGCUGUGGCUAUAAAAAGCUGUUUCAACGACAGAAAUUAGUCGGGUCUCUGUCAAGGUUGUAAAUGAGGGUUUUACACUAGCCAAUCAGGGUGAGAAAAAAAACCCUCUGAAAGCAGAGUCUAAAAUUGUCUCCAUAUAGUUCCAUUAUCCCACAAUGCCUGCCGUCCCCGCACCCUGCACCCCCAUACCCCGGGUGUACCAGAUUCCUUCUGUUGUAAGUCCCCUUCCCUAGGAGCUGUCCCCACCGAAGCAGGGGUUCUGAGAGCAGGAUCUUGUGAGGAGACGCCUGGGAAGAUAGAGCUGUCUGUCUCGUCACCUCAGAAGUGAGACACGCUGGAAGGCCUUGCAGGUGCAGGCACCUGACCCCAAUCCUGAGAUGCUGAAUGAAGCCUGCUUCCGCUGCAGCCUUCCACCCUCUCCUUUCCCGACAUCAACACUCAGUGGUCCUUUGUACCUCUCUGUGAGCACAGGAGUCUGAAGAAGCUUGCCGUUGCCUCUGGUGCUCACGUAUUAUUCCUUCCCUCUUUCUCCCAGGCUUUCAGGUGCAUGUGAAGAUGCAGCCCAUCCCCAGUGUCCUCUGGACUGGAACUCCUGAGGGGAUCGAGUCUAUUUUCUAUCUCUUGGCUUCGGGCUGAUAGAGUUGGACUUCACUUUGUCUCCAUCAUUUACUAGCAGAUUAGGUAACCUUGUAUGUAAAUGGUUGUAAUCUUGUAAUCCUUGCCUUGACGGCUGGCACCCAGUCUGGUUAGUAUGCAGCAGUUGUGACUAGCCACUUACCCGUUUGUUUUGAGACAGGCUAUGUAACCCAGGCUGUAGGCACCCUGCCUCAGCCUCCUAGGUGCUAGGAUUCCAGGAACAUGCCACCAUGCCUGGCUGCCUACCAUGAUAGUGUUUUGUUCUUAUUUUCCUUAAAGAUUAAUUUUCUUAUCAACUUACAUGUCUCCCCAUGUAUGUGUGCCCUCAGAGGCCAGAGGAGGGUGUCCCAUCUUCUGGGGCUGGAGUUACCGACGAUUACAAACCACCCAGUGAGCCUGCUGGGAACUGAACUCAGAUCCUCUAGAAGAACAAGUGCUCUUAACCUCUGAGCCAUCUCUCCAGCUCCUCUAACAGUUAGUGUGGGAACUUGAUGGAAACCUUGGUGGCAAGUUAGCCCGAUCUGCAGACGGCAGGAAACAAGAAUGAAGAAGAGAGACCUGGGCUCCCCAUAGGCUUGUCACGGUUGAAAUUGGGGACAUGAAGUCACAUGCAGAACCUGUUAGAUGGUUAGCAGUCUCCGGCCCACGAGUCUUCCAGGAAACAAGGUAAGGUGACUGUGAAGAGAGACAUCAGUGUCUGGGUACUCGUGGCAGCAAGGACCACAGCAUGCAGGAUGCUAGAGCGGAUGACCUAAUGGCUUUCGGUGGUGACAUGUAUCACUCCCUGGGUGGCCACAUCUGCCCAACAGCACUUUUCCAUAUGUGGAGUUCCAGAUGUGGACAGUGUGAGGGGCUCCAUAGUCCUGGUAUGCCACGGGAAAGCCCUUAUGAGGCGAUGCUCCACUCAGAGGCCACUGUGGGGAUGUGUUACAUCGUCCAGCAUCCUUCAUGCUUCUUCCAGUGUAAACCACACCAACAUCUUGUUUCUCGCUGAAUAACAAAUAUGUUUUGAGUCCCUGGGGCUGUAUCUACUCUUAGAAAGCUAGAGUACAUACAUUUAUAAACAUCGUAUUGUAUACCAAAAAUACGUAUCAUUUUA